ensembl:lncRNA
UUAAUUAGGAUUCAGACAGAGGAGCUGUGCCUAUAAAAGACCAGCUUGGUUGUUUGGGAGUCAAAGCUGGGGUCUUGCUGUAGCAGUGGUGAGGAGAGUGCUUUGAUUGGGACUUUGAUUGGGACUUUGAUUGGGACUUUGAUUGGGACUUUGAUUGGGACUUUGAUUGGGACUUUGAUUGGGACUUUGAUUCAAACCAUUGAUGUUGACUAUGACUCUUGGCGUGACAGUCAGGUUGCUUUGGAUAUGCCUUUUCCUAAGUGAAAUAUGCUGUCAGCAACUUCAACAAGGGUUAGAAGGUCCCCAGAGAUUUGGGUACUAUAACUACAAUCCUAGGCCCGCCGGUGGUGAUUCUGUACCGUCCAUGAAUGACUCAAGCUCAACCAAAGGUGAAGGUGUCCCAAGUUGUAAUGAACCUGCUAAGGAAAACCCAUUAUUCAGUAAAGCAGAGGUUCCUCAUGCCCCAACAAGCCAGAGGCUGAUGCCAUCAAGCCAGGAGGGGCAGGGUCAGCAGUCUCUUAGCCAGGCAGCCAAGAUGGCACAGGCCCAGGUGACCCCAGCAUGGGCCAAGAUGCCCCCAGCCCCAGUGAACCAGGCAGCCCAGAUGCCCCAGGUACAGGCCCAGAUGCCUCCAGUAUGGGCCAAGAUGCCCCCAGCCCCAGUGAACCAGGCAGACCAGAUGCCCCAGGUGCAGACCCAGAUGCUUCCAGCAUGGGCCAAGAUGCUCCCAGCCCCAGUGAGCCAGGCAGCCAAGAUGCCACAGGCCCAGAUGCCCCCAGCAUGGGCCAAGAUGCCCCCAGCCCCAGUGAACCGAAUGCCGCAGGCUCAGAUGCCCCCAGCAUGGGCCAAGAUGCCCCCAGCCCCAGUGAACCGAAUGCCCCAGGCGCAGGCCCAGAUGCCGCUUCCUCAAAUGACUGCAUCAAACCUGCAGCGACCUUCCAAGGGGGAAGAUUUUCAAGCAAGGCCUCAGACUAAUGACGGGGUCCUGCAAAGUUUUCCUGAACGGUAUAUAAGCCAAAAGACAGUGGAUGUAAUCAAAGUCCUUAAUGAACCAAAUUCUAAAUUCUUUCAGAACAAAGAUGAACUUGACCAAGAACCCAUCCAAUCCUCUGAAAUGCAUGAACCUGACGCAAGCACAGUGUAUAGAUGGCCUGUGUCAAGUAUUCAACUGCAGAGUCAACACAGUGGUGCUGUCCAAACUGAACAAAUUCAAGCAGGGCCUCAGACUAAUGACAGGGUGCUGCAAAGAUUUCCUGAACGGUUUAUAAGCCAAAAGCCGGUGGAUGUAAUGCAACUCAAUGAACCAAAUUCUAAAUUCUUUCAGAACAAAGAUGAACUUGACCAAGAACCCAUCCAAUCCUCUGAAAUGCAUGAACCUGAUGCAAGCACAGCGUAUAGAUGGCCUGUGUCAAGUAUUCAACUGCAGAGUCAACACAGUGGUGCUGUCCAAACUGAGCGGCGACCUUCCAUAGGGGCACAUUUUCAAGCAAGGCCUCAGUAUUUUGCCCCCAGCCCCAGUGAACCAGGCAGACCAGAUGCCCCCAACCCCAGUGAGCCAAGCAGACCAGAUGCCCCAGGUGCAGGUCCAGAUGCCUCCAGCAUGGGCCGGGUGAAUGACCGGGUGCUGCAAAGAUUUCCUGAACCGUUUAUAAGCCAAAAGACACAAAACGCAGUGUAUAGAUGGCCUGUGUCAAAUAUUCAACUGCAGAGUCAACACAGUGGUGCUGUCCAAACUGAGCGGCGACCUUCCAUAGGGGCACAUUUUCAAGCAAGGCCUCAGACUAAUGACAGGGUCCUGCAAAGUUUUCCUGAACAGUAUACAAACCAAAAGACAGUGGAUGUAAUCAAAGUCCUUAAUGAACCAAAUUCUGAAUCUCUGUAUGGCAGUAAGACCUCACAGGAGGCAAAACAGGCUUCUAAUGUUUUGCACCAAAAAGAGCAGGGGAGCCAGCAACCUAUUCAGUCUACUGACACCACUGUGAGUCAUGGUGUCCAGAUGCUGGAGCCCAGUAAAACCAACCCUGUCCAGAGUCCAAAUGAGUUUUAUUCAGAGCCAGACCCACAGUUUGGAUCUGAAGGCACCAUAAGGCCUGGUUCUCAGUCUGCUGCCACUGCCACAGAGAUACUGGGCACAACCUCAGGCUACUUGAGUCCACAUGAGCCAAAGUACCAGCUACCUGCUCAGACCAGCUCUAGCUACAGCUAUGGAACUAGUGGGCAGCUUGCUAAUAAAGGGGAUCCAGUGCCUUCUGGAAGUCAUGGCCCUAUCAGAAGCCAAGGUGGAGUUGAGGGCAGACAGCCCAGUGGUGAGCAAAACUUGCCUUCAAGAGUUGAUGCACUCAAUCGGCUUAAGCAAGCUCUUCACAAUGUGUCAAGAGGUCACCUGUUUCACUCUGUUAUGCAGAGGCUUAUUCCAGCUAGUUCUCCCUCCUGGAACAUGGGUGAAGGAUGGGAUUUCCUUGGCAGUGCUGAGAACUCCCCAUCCUUAACCGGAGACCAAAGUCAUUUUGGAGAUGAUGGAAAUGACUUGUCCACCAGUGUGAGUCGAGGUGAAACUUCCAGCAGCAAGAGCAGCAUCAGUCAUGCUCCUGAAAAUGUUGGAUCUGGAAAAAGUGAUGGUGGCGUCAUGUCGCCUUCACCUUUGGUGAACGUGUAUGGAAGUGGAUCUAGCAGUGCCUUGUCCAAUGCUGUGUCCUCCCACAGAGGCAAUGAUGGCUCCGCAAGGAAGGGGACCACCAUCCAGCAAACUACUAAAGAAGCCCCUAAAGGACCCUUGCAAAUGUCGGCUGCCUGUUUGACACGUAAAGUAAUCCCUGCCCAGAGGAGAAUUCCAGCAAAAAGCUUCUAUCGGAAAAUGUCUGCUGUGAAACCAGCUAAACACCAUUGGCCUCUCCUUACUCCAAAACGGUUUCGCAAGCUAAGGGUCCUGGAAGGAAAAUGUGAAGGGGCUGCCCACAAACUUUAAAAGAAGGGCUCUUCAUCCCAUCCUGACUGAUCAUGAUGUGCUUUUUUGACGGAAUUUUAAAUAAAUGCAUAAAUCUGAUUGUUUACUGGUUUGCU